rnacentral:rRNA from 1 species
GACGAACGCUGGCGGCGUGCUUAACACAUGCAAGUCGAACGGAAAGGCCCUGCUUUUGUGGGGUGCUCGAGUGGCGAACGGGUGAGUAACACGUGAGUAACCUGCCCUUGACUUUGGGAUAACUUCAGGAAACUGGGGCUAAUACCGGAUAGGAGCUCCUGCUGCAUGGUGGGGGUUGGAAAGUUUCGGCGGUUGGGGAUGGUCUCGCGGCUUAUCAGCUUGUUGGUGGGGUAGUGGCUUACCAAGGCUUUGACGGGUAGCCGGCCGUGGAGGGUGACCGGCCACAUUGGGACUGAGGUACGGACCAGUCUCGUACGGGGGGCAGCAGUGGGGAAUAUUGCACAAUGGGCGGAAGCCUGAUGCAGCAACGCCGCGUGCGGGAUCACGGCCUUCGGGUUGUAAACCGCUUUCGCCUGUGACGAGGCGUGAGUGACGGUAAUGGGUGAAGAAGCACCGGCUAACUACGUG